rnacentral:rRNA from 1 species
CCUACGGGAGGCAGCAGUGAGGAAUAUUGGUCAAUGGACGAGAGUCUGAACCAGCCAAGUAGCGUGAAGGAUGACUGCCCUAUGGGUUGUAAACUUCUUUUAUAUGGGAAUAAAACGUUCCACGUGUGGGAUUUUGUAUGUACCAUAUGAAUAAGGAUCGGCUAACUCCGUGCCAGCAGCCGCGGUAAUACGGAGGAUCCGAGCGUUAUCCGGAUUUAUUGGGUUUAAAGGGAGCGUAGGUGGAUGGUUAAGUCAGUUGUGAAAGUUUGCGGCUCAACCGUAAAAUUGCAGUUGAAACUGGCAGUCUUGAGUACAGUAGAGGUGGGCGGAAUGCGUGGUGUAGCGGUGAAAUGCUUAGAUAUCACGAAGAACUCCGAUUGCGAAGGCAGUUCACUGGACUGCAACUGACACUGAGGCUCGAAAGUGUGGGUAUCAAACAGGAUUAGAUACCCGGGUAGUC